rnacentral:sRNA from 10 species
AAAUGAAUUAAGAGGCAACUCUUAACUGGCCAUCUAGGGAAAAAUCGAGAGAUUCAAGCCUAGAGGGCAGAAAGCUUCGCGAAGUAGCGCUUAAAUCACGGAGCGGGAAGGCAUGGCGGUAGCGCAUACAACGACGUGCCAA